rnacentral:rRNA from 1 species
ACCCAAUAGAUACCCAGGUAGUCCUGGCCCUAAACGAUGAAUGCUUGGUGUGGCGGGUAUCGAUCCCUGCCGUGCCGAAAGCUAACGCAUUAAGCAUUCCGCCUGGGGAGUACGGUCGCAAGGCUGAAACUCAAAGGAGUUGACGGGGGCCCGCACAAGCGGUGGAGCAUGUGGUUUAAUUCGACGCAACGCGAAGAACCUUACCCAGGCUUGAACUGCAGAUGACAUCCUACGAAAGUAGGCUUCCGCAAGGACAUCUGUAGAGGUGCUGCAUGGCUGUCGUCAGCUCGUGUCGUGAGAUGUUGGGUUAAGUCCCGCAACGAGCGCAACCCUUGUCUUCUGUUGCCAUCGGGUUAUGCCGGGCACUCUGAAGAGACUGCCGGUGACAAACCGGAGGAAGGUGGGGAUGACGUCAAGUCAGCAUGGCCUUUAUGUCUGGGGCCACACACGUGCUACAAUGGCAGGUACAAACCGUCGCGAGACCGCAAGGUGGAGCUAAUCGGAUAAAGCCUGUCUCA